CAGUCGCCGCGGUAAUACGGAGGGUGCAAGCGUUAAUCGGAAUUACUGGGCGUAAAGCGAGCGUAGGCGGUUCGUUAAGUCUGUUGUGAAAGCCCCGGGCUCAACCUGGGAAUGGCAAUGGAUACUGGCGAGCUAGAGUGUGUCAGAGGAUGGUGGAAUUCCCGGUGUAGCGGUGAAAUGCGUGGAUAUCAGGAGGAACACCAAUGGCGAAGGCAGCUCGCUGGGACGUGACUGACGCUGAGACGCGAAAGCGUGGGGAGCAAACAGGAUUAGAUACCCGAGUAGUCCCUGUCUCUUAUAC
rnacentral:rRNA from 1 species